UGGGGAAUAUUGCACAAUGGGGGAAACCCUGAUGCAGCGACGCCGCGUGAACGAAGAAGGUAUUCGUAUCGUAAAGUUCUGUCCUAUGGGAAGAUAAUGACAGUACCAUAGAAGAAAGCUCCGGCUAAAUACGUGCCAGCAGCCGCGGUAAUACGUAUGGAGCGAGCGUUGUCCGGAAUUAUUGGGCGUAAAGGGUACGCAGGCGGUUUAAUAAGUCGAAUGUUAAAGAUCGGGGCUCAACCCCGCAAAGCAUUGGAAACUGAUAAACUUGAGUAGUGGAGAGGAAAGUGGAAUUCCUAGUGUAGUGGUGAAAUACGUAGAUAUUAGGAGGAAUACCAGUAGCGAAGGCGACUUUCUGGACACAAACUGACGCUGCGGUACGAAAGCGUGGGGAGCAAACAGG
rnacentral:rRNA from 1 species